CGUGACGCGAGCGAAGAGUCGAGAGACUCGACUUUCUAAGUAUAGACGAUCUUUGAUGAAAUACGGUGUCUCUCGAGGGUCAAAUACCAAACCAUUUUAUAAUGAAGGAAAAGACACACAGACGAGUACAUCCCAAGCCUCCUGGCGGCUUCCGAGAUCCUUGGGGUCUUCCUGUUUGGGAAGGGGUGGUGGUUCUGGUUCUGAUGGACCGCAUUGGAGGAGCCAACGCCCCCUAGACUCAACUGCCUGGUUAACCUCAGGGCCGGGGCCUUGCAGCAGGUCUGCAGCACUGAGGCGUCGUCCUUCAGGUCUUCGAGCAGGCUGCUGGUGGGGGCGGAGCUUUCAUCAGAGCAGGGGGGGGGACCCCCUCUGGAUCCACUGCUCUGAUCUGGUUCUGGUUUGGACCCGUCAGCGUUGACGCCGUCCGUGGUGCUGCAGGACUCUGAUGAAGACGAGGAGCGUCUAUAACAACAGUGGAUGAUAAUCAAUGAGGAUGAUCUUUAAACAGACAUUAAAGGCACAGAUUCAAUCAAAUAGAAUUAAACCAAGUUCAUUUUCACGUCACACGAUUAAACAUAAAUUCACCCAUUUCCUUCUAAUAACAAAA
ensembl:lncRNA